GGAUGUGAGGGCAAUCUGGCUGCGACAUCUGUCACCCCAUUGAUCGCCAGGGUUGAUUCGGCUGAUCUGGCUGGCUAGGCGGGUGUCCCCUUCCUCCCUCACCACUCCAUGUAUGUCCCUCCCGAAGCUGCGCGCUCGGUGGAAGAGGACGACCAUCCCAGAUAGAAGGAGUGUACCGUUCUUCGGUCAAGGGUAUACGAUAGCUGCGCUCCCCUGCUAGAACCUCCAAACAAGAACAGUUUCAGGUUAAGAACAGACCUACAAGUUCUUAAUCCGAGGUACCACUAUACAUGGGUUUUGUGG